rnacentral:snRNA from 1 species
UCUCUUUGGCAGCACAUAUACUAAAAUUAAAAUGAUACAGAGAAUAUUAGCAUGGCCCCUGCACAAGAAUGACAUGCAGAUUUGUGAAGUGUUCCAUUAUGUG